CCACCUCCCGCCCUCCACCCCGCGCCGGAUGCAGCUGCGACGGCAGGCUAGUCGUGCUGGCUGCUGCCGGUCUUUCUGUACGUUUCUCUGCCUCUGAGGAUCGCAGUGAUAACGGGGUCCACCCGUCACUUAGAGAUGCUUCCCACUUCUGCACAACUAAUUGUCCUGUACAGACGAUAGCUAGGACAUAGUCCCCGUGGAAUGCCGCAGCCUCCAUGGAUCCAUGAAGACUAGUAUCACAUGCCAGGGACCUGGAAGGAACUGUAGAAGGCCUAGGUCCUUAAUAGUGUGACUGUCACUGCCCUUCACCUGGCUGGCCUCCUUCCAGACCUGUGUGAGAAAAUAAAUCCCUUAUAUGGUUAUUCCAACAUCCUUACUCAAGCCUCAAGCAGUUGAAUGGCCUUUUUUUGUUUUUGUUUUAGAUAGGGUUUCUCUCUGUAGCCCUGGCUGUCCUGAGACUUGCUCUGUAGAUCAGGCUGGCCUCAAAUUCACAGAGAUCCACCUGCCUCUGCUUCCUGAGUGCUAAGAUUAAAGGCGUGCACCACCACCACCUGUCUGCUAAAUGGACUUCUAACAGUGUUUUCCAGAAGCCUAUAUGACCUAUGACGUUACAGCCAGUUGAAACAGAUUUGAGGAAAGCCACCUGCUCUUUGUUGAGCUAGACUACCCAGAGGAUUUGCAGCACUACGUAGCAGCACUAUUCUAUAUGCUAAUUUUGGGGAAAUAUAGCUAUUUUCAUUAAAGAUGUUAUCGUGUGAUUAUUUUAUUAAUUUUCAGUUUUUAUUUUUUUGGGUUACUGGGGAUUGAAUCCAGGGCCUUGUGCUAUACAUGUGUCAAUAAGUAAAGCAAUUUAAAAGUUGGGGCUGCUCAACCCCUCCUCCCAGCCUGCCUCUGUCCUCUUGGGACUCAGCCUCCUGGUGCAGUCCCAG